UUGUCCAAGACCAUGGUUACCUCUUCAUUGUAAUCAAUACUGUGAUGUGGUGUUGCAAGAGGAAGAGGCCACGAAGCCUUGUCACACCAGCUCACCUCUUCCCACCUUCUGUAGAUAUAUAUAGAUGAGCCAAGUCCCUCAAUUUUCCUGGAAACCACACGAAGAGAAGAAAGGAAGCAAGAGUGGCGGCCAAGAAGAAGGAAGAGGAAGACCCAGCAGAAAUCAUCAUCAUCUGCGUGCGUCACCACCAAGAAGAAGGAGAAGGGUCAUCAAGAGAGCUGCUACCCGAAGCCAAAGAAGGAACCCUACCGCUUUCCUUUCCUGGUUUUCUUAGUGUUCCUCUUGUUGGGUAAGAACCAGUAACUUGUGUUCUGUUGAUUUUUCCUAAAUUAAAGAUUCUACCCUUAUUGAGCUCCAAUUCUUUUAAUUGGUAACCAAACCAAUCAAUUCAGACCAUCACAAGAGUAAGAACUCUUCUCUUGCUCCAUAUGCAACUCGGCCAAUUAGCUCUAUGAAUUGACAAAUCUCUUUAAUUAUGUUUGUUAGGGUUUUCUGAUUUAAUAUAGCAAAGGACAGGCUUUGGUUUGUGAAAUUCUCGAAGAGAGGUAAGGGAUAGUCUAUACAAGAUAUGUUACUUGCAGCUGUGUAUACUGCUUAUGACUGAUGGUUUAUCAUGUGUUUGUUUGUUGAAAAGUGUAUAGUGAAUUUUUGUUAUGAUAAAGAUGCAGAAAAGUGAGUUUGAGUUAUGAGUGGGCCUUUGCAACAAGGGGUAAAUUAAUGAAUAUAAACUCUUAGAGCUGUGUUGAUUAUGCUAGUAACUUUAGUUAGUCAAAAGAAAGGUAAAAUUAUGGUUUUAGAUGAAUCCUAGGCUUGAAUAUAGGAUUUGGUAUGUGAGGUUGUUGGAAAUGCUUUGUGCAGAAUUUCUGCAGAAAUAUGCAUAAUUGGCAGUAAAACGAAUGAUUUUCUGGGAGCAGUCCAGACCUAAUUUUUAGAUGAGAUUAUUUUUCUGUAAAACUUUAGUGUGUCUUGAACAUGCCAUAAAAAUUUCAGAGAAUUUGGCCAAGCGGUUUGAAAGAUAUGAUUUUUUGAAGUUUAGUGGUUGCUGCAGAUUUUUCUGGUUUUCUGGUUCUGCAGUACCAACUUUCAGAUGCUAUAACUUUUAAUUUAAACAGAAUUUUGAGUUGCUUCCAAAAGGAUUUUAAAGAUCUAUCAGUCUAUUUUAAGUGAGUACAAUUUUCAUGUUCAUAUCUAUUUUGUAGACUUAGAUAAGUCACUUGGAAAAUCAGUUAUUUGCUGGAAACUCUGAACUGGUUUAUGAAAACAGGGCUGUAUUUCUAAGCUUAUAACUUUUUCAUGUGACAUGGUAAUAAUCUAAAAUUUAGUUUUCUGGAAAGCUGAAAGAGUCUUGUCUAAGUACAUAAAUUUUGAAAGGAAAUGGAUGAGAACUGGAUUUUUAGUGAAUUUAACAAAUUUACUGCUCACUGCUGUUUUCUGCAAUGAUAGCAGAAUUUUAAAAAUAUUUGUAAUAUUUUCAGUUAUGGUCGGAAUGCCCCAGAACCAAGUUUUAUUUUCUAAACCCGUGAUUUUACAAUAACUAAAGGGAUUAAAGAGAGUAUAAUGACCAAUUAAGAAUGUUUACCUGGUAAAUAGUUAAGGAAAGUUUGAACGUUGUUAAAGCUGAGGGAACCCGUAAGGGUGGUUUUAGUGCUAUUUUAGAGGAGAUUAUGUCCGAAUUUCUAUAAAAGUUCAAGGACUUAGUUUAAUGAAAAUGUGUAAGUUGCCCCUAAGAAAGGUUAAAGUUAAAGACAAUGAUAUUAAGAUAAAGUGAAGAAAGAAAUGAGGAACAAGGAAUGAAAUAAAAGUUGAGAAUUAUAUUGAAUGGGCCUUGUGCCGUACUACUAAUGCGAAAGUGCCCGCCUAAUGGAUAGCCUGAGAUUGCUAAUGCGGGAAUGUUCGCUUAAUUGAUAGCACUGUUCCUUACUGUGAUACACAUUGAAAUGUUAUUAUAAUGAGGCCUAAUUGACACGGGUAACCGUGAUGCCAAGGUGUCUAAUUGACACAGUAAAGGGACCAUACUGGGGUUCACUCUGAGUAACGUCGGGUUGCGGGUAGAUAACCGACGCAUGAGCUCAUGGCCUGCGCUAGGAAUAGGUAUGCAUCAUCUUGUUUGCGCAUAUGAACUUCUUGUGAAUUAUUUACUGCCAUUUCUUUCUUGUUCAUGCUACUUACUUGUCAUAAAUAUGUUUGUGCCUUGAGUCUCUGUAUUUGUUCUUUUUCUGUUUCGCGACAACUUAGAGAUAAAGACCCUAGGUUCCCCUUUUUCCUUACUGAGAACUCUAGGUUCUCACCCUUCUUUUCUUUCUUUUCCCCCUCCCCAGACGGGUCCGGCAGAGGAGCCCUGUGAGUUUCGUUCUAACCGCUGAGCUAUGAGGAUCCGGCGCGCGGUGGAGUCUUCAUAUGGAGCAUGUUUUGGACCUCUUUCUUGCACAAUGUUCGGAGAUCACUCCAGAGUUAGUCGCAGUGGAUCUUUCGCUCCUGUUUGAUGAUCUUAGUAUCACUUUCCCCUCACUUUUGUAGUACUUUUAGAGGGGUAGAACAUCUUAGUAGUUCGGUUCCAGCUUAGGAAACCCGUGUGAGGGUUGGGACUGAUUUCUUCUUUUGUAUCUGUACAUAUAACUUGGUGUGAUACUCGGCUUUGAUGGAUGACACGUAUCCUUGAACUUAACUCGUGUAUAUUAUAUAUAUGUUUAUAUAUGUUAUUUUCUGUUGCCUUGUGUUUUCUUACACGACAACUCUGAAGAAACUAACCUUGUGAGCAACUAAACGCUAUUCCACAAGUAGUAAUCUGUUCACGAUUAAACCGAUAAAGGCUUUUAUUGAUAUUAAUUUAUAAAAAUCUGAGUCUAGAGCUAAGUAGGCCGCACGACGAGUAACACCUAGACAUUUGGCAUUGGUCAUGACGUGUCGAAAGUUGGGGUGUUACAGUUGGUAUCAGAGCAGUUCGUCCUUUGAGCCUUGGGAUGGACUGUCUAUACUUUCUUGCAUACUCUGAAUCUUUUUAUACCAUGCAGUUAGGAUAUUUUGGUAAUAUAUUCUGCAUGAAGGUCUGUGAACAUCCAUUGUAGUAAUAUUAAUACUUGAUUUUGAUAUAUUAAGACUGAUCACCUUAAUAUUGAUUAUUGGGUAUUGAUAGGACUCAAAUGGCUGCGAAUAGGCGAGGACGCCCUCGACUGGGAGGAACGAGUGAGGGAAAUUUCCCUGAUGCAGCGGCUAUUCUCGAAUCUGUAAACGCUAUGGCCGCUGCUGUAUGUGAAUCAGUAGCUGCUACUAACCGAGUAGCUGAACGUCUUGAUCGUCAGAAUGGAAUUGAAAAUAACCAUGGGCCUAGACAAGAAAAUGAAAAUGGUGAAGAAGGUGAAGCUGGACUACGUAACCGGCCCAUGACUCUAGCCACUUUCUUGAAGAUAAAUCCGCCUCAAUUCCAUGGGAACACUAGUGCUACACGAGCUGAUGACUGGUUUAAAGAAAUAGGACGAGCAAUGCGAGCCCAACAAGUCCCUGAAAGACAGCGAGUGGAAUUUGCUGCUUAUAUGUUGAGGAAUGACGCGCAACAUUGGUGGCAGGGAAUACUCCAACUACUAGGAAGAGAAGCUAUUGACAUCUCCUGGGAGGAAUUUUCAGUUGAAUUUUAUAAGAAGUAUUUUCCUGAGUGUUCUCGCACCGCUAAGGAAUUGGAGUUGCUUCAAUUAAAACAAGGAAACAUGACAGUCAGUGAGUACACUCGCAAGUUUGAAGAGUUAUGCCGGUUCUCGAACAUUUGUCAAGGAGCACCAGCUGCAUUCGAGAAAUGGAAGUGCAUCAAGUUCGAAGGAGGACUUAGAGAAGAACAGUUAGCUCAUGUGGGCCCGAUGGAAAUACAGAAUUUUGCAGAAUUAGUUAACAAGAGCCAACUGACGGAGGAAUGUGUAAAGAAGCUGGUGGCAGCACAAACUAAGCACAAAAACCUUCCAACAAGGGAUUUCAAUCGUAACCUCGCUCCUCAAGGAAGAAACUUCAAAGUAACUCGGCAGCCAGACUUAGGCAAACAAUUGCAAUCGACCCAACCAAGACUGAUAUGCACUGUGUGUGGAAGGAAUCAUGGGGGAAAACCCUGCUUGCUGAAGUCUGGGGUUUGCUAUAAUUGCGGAAAGCCCGGACAUAUAGCCAAAGAAUGCAUUCGACGAAAGCCUGAAUUUGGUUCCCUUGGACAGCAACAGCUAGGAAGGGUGUUUGUCUUGGAUGCGAGAAAUACUACCAAAAUCGAUCCCCACACUCGAGGUAACGAAAUUUUGAGGACAAAAUUUUUUUUAGGAGGGUAGAAUGUAACCACCCUACCCCAUAAGGCCUGUGAUUUUUUUUUAUUAUUCUUUACAGCGUUCGCUGACACGCAUAGGUUUAUAUAUAAGUAGCAUAGAUAACGAAUUAGAAUUAGAACACGUAGCGCAAAACUUUUCUUUUAGUGCUUCCAAGCGACGAACCUUUUUCCGAUUCAAUUAUUCUAUGGAAUAAGUAUUCCCUUGAACCAUAUUAGUUAGAUAAUUCAAAUUUUUGAACCGGUUUGAUUUUUCUUCUCUCGGUUCAACCAAACCAUGCUUUUCUUAAAUAACCCAGAUCUAGAAAAACUCUGAUUAAACUCAUCUUCCCUUCUUCUCUCACAACCGAACGUGUUGUCCAAGACCAUGGUUACCUCUUCAUUGUAAUCAAUACUGUGAUGUGGUGUUGCAAGAGGAAGAGGCCACGAAGCCUUGUCACACCAGCUCACCUCUUCCCACCUUCUGUAGAUAUAUAUAGAUGAGCCAAGUCCCUCAAUUUUCCUGGAAACCACACGAAGAGAAGAAAGGAAGCAAGAGUGGCGGCCAAGAAGAAGGAAGAGGAAGACCCAGCAGAAAUCAUCAUCAUCUGCGUGCGUCACCA
rnacentral:lncRNA from 1 species